rnacentral:tRNA from 1 species
AUGUCAAGGGAUGGGAAUCGAACCCAACGACCUUCCGCUUACCGGGCAGAUGCCAUGACCACUAGGCCACAUGACC